rnacentral:sRNA from 1 species
UUUAUUGUGAGAGUGGACAGACAUCCGAGAUUUCAGAGCCCCAUAUUCGAGCCCCGUGGAAUCCCGCGGCCCCCAGCCAGAGCCAGCAUGCAGAACAGGGAGGGCGGAGUUCAGCGGCGGAAAUAAAGCGAGCAGUGGCUGGUGCGAACCGACUCCCGGCUCUGAGCCUUACUUGCGGUGGCCGGACUUGUCUGUGGCUGAAGCCGAGCCCGGGCUCUGACUCUCACGUCUGCACUGGAGGUGCGGAAACCUGGACUGGGGUUCGCCAGCCACAGACUGGCUGCUCUGGUUGUUCUCUCCUCUUCCUUCUUCUAUUCUAACCAAACAAAACCCAACUAGAUGCUUGUGCCAGGCCUUGGCCAGUUUGGACGGUGAUGGAAACAUUUCUGGAUUUUAGCGUCUAAGGGAGCACUCAAGGGCUGUAAGGUUUGCUAUCACUGUCCCAACACUGCAGAGACCUUGAAGGUUCAGUGUGGGAUCUGUAGAACCCAUGGUUUGCGGUGACACUCAGAGGGGAUCUUUGGGAGAUUUAUAGAGCCGGUUCUUAGCGCUUUGUGGGUUCAGAGGCUGGCUGCAGUGUUUAUGAAGAGGGGCAGUGGGCUGGGGACACUGCUGGGGUUAUGGCUGUAGUGAGGUCCAUGUGUACUUGUUCCUUGGCAUGCGUCUGACUCUGUGUUGCUGCUGCAGUACAGUGGGCAGGGGCACGGUUGCUUGGGACUGGGCUGCCCGAUGUCUGGCAUGGCUGGUGGUCCUGUUGUCCUUUAUUUGAUCGAUAGCAGGGAACUGAUCGCCGAGGUUGGCACAGGUUGGCAGGGGGAUGAGGAUGCAUUGUGGUUGUCUCCUCCUCCUCUCCUUCUUCCUCUUCCCCUUCCUCCUCUCCUUUCUGUUCUUGUUCUCCCUCAUCUUCCUCUUCCUUCUUCUCCCUCUUCUUCCUCUUCACUCUGCUCUCCUCUCUUCUUUUCCCCUUUCCUCUCCUCUCCCUUUCCUCAGGUCACAGCGGAGUGAAUCAGCUCGGUGGUGUCUUUGUCAACGGGCGGCCACUGCCGGACUCCACCCGGCAGAAGAUUGUAGAGCUAGCUCACAGC